rnacentral:rRNA from 1 species
GAUGAACGCUGGCGGCGUGCCUAAUACAUGCAAGUCGAGCGAACGGACGAGAAGCUUGCUCUUCUGAUGUUAGCGGCGGACGGGUGAGUAACACGUGGAUAACCUACCUAUAAGACUGGGAUAACUUCGGGAAACCGGAGCUAAUACCGGCUAAUAUUUUGAACCGCAUGGUUCAAAAGUGAAAGACGGUCUUGCUGUCACUUAUAGAUGGAUCCGCGCUGCAUUAGCUAGUUGGUAAGGUAACGGCUUACCAAGGCAACGAUGCAUAGCCGACCUGAGAGGAUGAUCGGCCACACUGGAACUGAGACACGGUCCAGACUCCUACGGGAGGCAGCAGUAGGGAAUCUUCCGCAAUGGGCGAAAGCCUGACGGAGCAACGCCGCGUGAGUGAUGAAGGUCUUCGGAUCGUAAAACUCUGUUAUUAGGGAAGAACAUAUGUGUAAGUAACUGUGCACAUCUUGACGGUACCUAAUCAGAAAGCCACGGCUAACUACGUG